UGGAAUCAAUAUGUUGCCAUACGAUAUGGUGGCCCUGGCUAUAUUCGCAAUGCGUACAUAGUACUUUGCCUCAGCCAUAAAAUUAAUGUACAGUAGGUACGGGUUUUUACUAUCGAUCUUGACGGCAGCGUAAUGCUGGAAGUAUCAGGUUUGCACAUGUCAGUGAAUGGAUGCGCAUGGUGCCAAUGUUGUUGUAUGUUGUUAUCGAUCGAAUACUCACUCCAGACGGUAGACGCAAAAUGCCUACUAUUUGACUUUGCUACGCCAUUUGGUUUUAAAGAGGAAAGCGGGUCCCUUUUUCUAUUUUUGCAACGCGAAGAGAUCCGAAUUUAGAAACUAUAAUACAUUUUCUGCAUUAACCAUUGUGGUACAGUAUAUGCCAAGUCUCUGUCUGCUCCCUAAUGCUUCGUAAAGAAAUCUGGAAUGGACAUAAGCAGUAUUGAUCUAAUUCGGGUGCAUCGAUACUAUCAGGAUUUCUUCGUGGAUGUAGUAGGUGAUGAAAACUGUUUUUAUCGCGGUUAUGUUUUGGAUGUUCAAAGUAAUGGACUUAUAGUGAGUGCCAGCAAAAACAGCGAUGCGCAGUUGAUUGAAUGGAGAAAUUUGCGUGAGGGUGAGCGUUCGUCUAACAGGAAUCGUUCGAUCAGCUCAAGAAUCACGCACAUCGAGGUAUUAGCGAAUUUGAACGCCAAUGCGAAAGCAACAGAAAGAUGGCAUCUCAGCGAAAUUGUUACUCAAAAGCGGAUAAAAAUAUUCUUCAAGAAGAUUAUAAUAUUUCGCGUGCGUAUAAACACGGUCAGAGGAGACGUUAUAAGGACUAUUAUCAGUGAUGGAAAAUACGACGCACGGAUCCGCCGCCCCAUAAGGCACCGCAGCGUCCUCAGACCGCGAUCAUUUUUCAAGACAUUCAUUUCAGUGGCAACAACCAUUUCCUUUAUCGGUAAACAUCCCUUCAAACGUCCCGACACUUCGUUGUGGGAGUUUUUGUCAAUUAUAAAUAAAUGCCAAGAAUGUCGAUGGUUUGCCAGUUGGUGGCUAGAUAAAACGGAAACAAAAAUCAUCAGUGCGCACGAGAACGGCGUGUAUGUUUUAAGCGGGAAAAAAUUAACCAAAAGGCAAAUUCAAGGCUGCCAAGAGCGUUUAAGUCAGUUGCCCAUCUUCUUGGAAACCUUUGUGAAACCGAUUGGUUCUGUAAACCAGUCAAAACGUUGGUCGACGUCGGUCGCAGAUGUGGUAGCCGCUCCAGCCAUUCCUAAUUUCGACUACAAUGUGGAGAUAUUGUGCGCCCCCAAGUUCUCGAUCUUCAGUUAUGUAGACGUUUGCCAUCUAAACCUGUUAAGAAGAGUUUGCACCACCUGGAACGCAGUAAUCUCAUCUACCGAAUCCAAAAAAUUCGUUAUAUUGACGAAGAAGCCGUACAUAAGUCCACUGGUGUUGGCUAGAUGCCUUCAUGACACAAUAACCUCGUCAACUGUCAUCUUGUGCCUAAACGGAACUCAUCCAUUCGGAGUGGUAUAUGACUUACUUCGUUUCAUGGAACUUAAACUAGAUUGGCUUAUUAUAUGCGACUGUAAAGAGCUCAGGUUGGAUUAUUUUGUACGUCACAGCAGUGUUCCGGUACCUGAAUAUUCGGAAAUAACAAAACGCUUCGCCAUUAAAAACAGCACAUUCACGGACUUUGAUGUCAAACCAAAAUCGCCCGCAGGGCUUGAGAGGAUCAUGCGGUCUUUCAGUACAACUCAUUGGUGUAAUGCUAUCGUUCCGGAUAUUGAAAUCAGUUUUUCUUUGUGGUCAUAUCAAUUCGCAAAUAACGACAACCAUCUUGCCUUAGCAAGGUCCUUGCUGACUAACCUGGAAAUAAAUUGUCCACCCUUUGAUCACCGCCACCUUAGCCAGCUGCGAAGUCGAAUAUCGGCCAUAGCCAAAAACGGGACUGAACGGAAAUGGAAACGUUGGAUAUGGCCAGCGUUAUGCUCGUGCUUUACCAGGUAUUUUGUUGAUCCACCAAAUGAUGUGGAAAGUUUGAAGGUGUUUAUAAUGACCCAACACAAGGGCUGCACCCAACAGAAUUUGAUUCUACAUACCUUGCAUGGCUGGAUGUCAGAGAUCAACAGAAGACACGCAAGUAUCGACGCGUACCAAGCGCGCUCUGCCUUACCAGAAAAGUUGAAUUUCCAGAAGGGUUCCGGCCAGUGCGGUAGUGGCCGUAUACCGUUACGUUUAGAUUACAGGCGACGCGACAAGUGUCUGAGCUUAUACGUGUUCGAGGAAAAUGAGAGACCAACUGACCAAUCAAGAUUUGGACAGCUUUUCUACAAAGUCUGCCUCACACCUGGAACACACCUACCAUGCCUUCAUGACACAAUAACCUCGUCAACUGUCAUCUUGUGCCUAAACUGAACUCAUCCAUUCGGAGUGGUAUAUGACUUACUUCGUUUCAUGGAACUUAAACUAGAUUGGCUUAUUAUAUGCGACUGUAAAGAGCUCAGGUUGGAUUAUUUUGUACGUCACAGCAGUGUUCCGGUACCUGAAUAUUCGGAAAUAACAAAACUUUACGCAUGCGAGUGCAAGGACGAUAACGAGUGCACUUAUCCUUUUUUGGAUAAAAUUGAGUUAUCCUGAAAAUAUAAUUCUACGACUGCUUACCAGAAAUUUGUGAAAAUGGUAAAGCAAGAAUGUAUUCUAUAAAAAAGGGUAAAUUACAGAGCGUUGCAGCUCUGCAAUCAAUGCAGCAGCAGCUUUAAUUACCUAAUGUAUGUUUUCACACCGCUGACGUCAAAGGACAACUCGGCUUUCGUCAAAAUAUGGUGGAUCGUUAUCGCUGUCUUUGUACUGUACAUAUCUGUACUUCCACAGAUUCGUAUGGGCAGUAUGGGCAACCGUCUUUGUGCGCGGUUCACAUUAGUACUUGCAAUUUCGCAGCCGUUUUAAAUAGCGGGGCGCCCAGAUAUGCGCCUGUUUUCUGUUUCACAAAUAUGAUUGAAAGCAGUAUCCUUAUUAACUUUAGCUAUGGAACUUCUGGUCAGAAAAUGAAUUGAGGUUCACUUAGUUUGUGAGGAAAAUGAGAAUCCUGACUGUCGGUCGAUCACGCCUUAAGCAUGACUAACCACCAUGUUGUAAGAAAAUUAAAAGCUUAUAAAAUACGCCUAUAAGACGUUAACCGGGUAUUUCUAUUUAAUAAAUGACAGGUGUCUAUAAAAUGCAGGGUGCGUAAGGGAUGACUAUAUUAACGAGAUUGGAAACUGAAGAGGAUGGCCUAUAGGCUAUAGUGGUUUCCUGUAUUAUUAGCGUACCAUUAUUUACCUUAGAAGCGCGACAGGGUUUCAUAUACACAUAAUACACUGUAUUUCGAGCUUGCAUGCAACGGUAGAAAUGGAAUGAAUUCAAGAUGCGAACAUGGAUUCAAAGCUGAUAUUCCUGGCACGAUCAUAAUAAACCUAACCACCCUGCAACGUUUAAAAAAAUUUCAAAUAAAAGAACUAAUUGCGAAAUCCCGCCCUGAGUAGUUUGAGCAUGUCUGUCUGCUAUCUACACUGUCAUUUACGUUCCUACAGCGGUUUUUGACAAGGAUACGUUCUGUACGGGAAGGCGGCCCUGAUAUUACCAGAAAUGAAUGGUAUUGUAAAUGCAGCUGGGUAAAAACUGGGUCUGCGUAAAGUGAUCGAAGAGAACAGAAAGUGCGAAAAAACUUACUUAGAAAGGUUAAAAAACGAGUUUUAAAAUCACGGAAUUUGAACCUAGUCACAAGUAUAAAAUAAUCACAAUUUACAAGCAAAAUUUCCCAGGAGAAAGCUGAUGUUUUAUUUGGGAUGUACCUAAAUCAGACACCUGUCUGUCCUGUCAUGCUUUAGGUUAACUUUAGAUGAUUUUGUUCAUAGUUUGAGGAGUAACUUCUUGGGCAAACGUUUCGGGCUUCGCUUCGGUCUUGUAGUGCUAGCCAAAAGCGGUGCACUUCCCUAGUUAAAAACCCAAGCGGGUCCUGACUUUAGGCAACGCCAAGCUAUACUUCAGUAUUAUCCUUUCCGCAAACGACUAAAUUUAGUCUGAAUACAAAUCAAUCGCACAGUAAAACGCAGGUUUGACAGACAAAGCAUGGCUGUUCGUGGAUUCGGCUAUAUUCCCACGACAGGAAGACAGUAAAAUUAAUGGUACUGUACCUUUAUAAUUAUGUGGGUUAGCCAUGUCUGCGUGACUUAUAAAGAAGACGGGAACCGUGAACCAAGAUGCCUCCUUCUGCAGUGAUAUUUAUACAUAGUAACAGCCUGUAGAUACUUCUUGCAGUGACAGCCUCAUACAGCUUCGAAUACUAGCAAACUGCAUACAGUCGUCGUGUGGGUAGAAGUUGGUCCUUUCACAAGCCGAAAGAAAGCCGAAAGCAGGCGGAUAACUGCCAACAAACCCUGGGCUGGCUGACAUCAUUUCACUGGAAAAAUAUUGAACCUGUCGAUAUCUGGCGCACAUAUGUCGAGAUAGCCGUAUGCGACCAAGAACAACAGUCACCGGAAAGGAUCGUAGGCACGAUUAUACUCGAUUUAAGCGACCCGAUUCACCUGGACGGCGUCACGCGUUGGUAUUCGAUUAACGAGGAUCUCUGUUCCCAAACACCAAUUUCCGGUCAGUCACACCCCUCAUCUGGAUCCGUUAGUUUCCAUUAGAGUGUUGAUGUUGUUUGGGCUUGUCAGUUAAUGGCUGUUUUUAAAUAGUGAUUUGUUUUUAAUAUACUUUAGUAUCUGUACUCGUAUAUUUGUACCCGGUAAGAAUGUUCACGCUGUCAGCAAAUUUGACGGGCGAAACGGCUAAGGAUA